GAUGAACGCUGGCGGCGUGCCUAACACAUGCAAGUCGAGCGGUAUAUACUUUAUCAAAUCUUCGGAAGAGAGACGGUAUAGAGAGCGGCGGACGGGUGAGUAACGCGUAGGCAACCUGCCCCAUACAGAGGGAUAGCCUCGGGAAACCGGGAUUAAAACCUCAUAACGCGAAAGAGUCACAUGGCUUUUUCGCCAAAGAUUUAUCGGUAUGGGAUGGGCCUGCGUCUGAUUAUCUAGUUGGGGGGGUAACGGCCUACCAAGGCGACGAUCAGUAGCCGACCUGAGAGGGUAAUAGGCCACAUUGGAACUGAGACUCGGUCCAAACUCCUACGGGAGGCAGCAGUGGGGAAUAUUGCACAAUGGGCGAAAGCCUGAUGCAGCAACGCCGCGUGAGCGAUGAAGGCCUUUGGGUCGUAAAGCUCUGUCCUUGGGGAAGAAUAAAUGACGGUACCCUUGGAGGAAGCCCCGGCUAACUACGUGCCAGCCGCCGCAUAA
rnacentral:rRNA from 1 species